AGGAGGUGGUUGCUGUUGUAAUCAUAUAACAAUUGUGACAUGAAGAGUUUGGAAUGUUCUUCCCUUUCACAGAUUCUGUCUUACAGUUAAACAAAAUUGAUUGCCACCUCGCUCUUUGAAUUGGCCCUUCAAAUUCUUGUGUUUGCCUGCCUGCCAAAGAUAGGAAGAGAUUAAGAGUGACUGAGAGAAGAAAAAGAUUAUGCAGCUGCAUAUGUGUUAAUCUUGCCAUCUUUUCUGCAGGGUUCAGAAGGAGAGAAGUCCUGCACCGUCAGAGUUUAGUGAGAAACCCACAGGACAUCAAAGGCGACUGAAGAAAGUGAUGUUUCAGCUAUGACUGCUGACCUUCCUCAAGGUUUCUUCCAAAUGAGUCAAAGCAAACUCUCCAAAUAUCUAGAAGAAAAGCAAUGUCAAAUCACUGUACUUCAAAAUAACUGUCAACAUAUAUGACUAAAUUAAAUUAACCUGGAGAUUAGAUGUUGUUGUUCUGAAAUGCGUAUCAAUCUUUAUAUUCAUUGAAGCAACUGCACUAAGAUAACCUUGAUGAUUUCCGUGAAUUUGGAGAGGACACAAACAUAUGGCUGAUUAAAUUCAGUGGUCAGCAGUGAGCACUGCCCCAUGUAAACAAUGAAAAGUUGUAUUACAUUAAACACUAACAGUUUCAGUUUUAAUAUUUAGUACCUGAGAUACUGACGAUGUUGGAUGUAAUUGUUAGCCAUAAAUCACGCUCUGGGGAAAGCAGCUCUAUGUUCUAACAUAUCAAAUCACUAUAGUUAUUUAACAGUAGUAAUGCUAUGGAGGUUUUUAAUAAUUAUGUCACAGUUUCCUUCUGCA